rnacentral:snRNA from 1 species
GUGCUUGCUUCGGCAGCACAUAUACUAAAAUUGGAAUGAUACAGAGAAGAUUAGCAAAGUCAGAGUGAACUAGAUGUAGAAGGAGACUAACCAAAGCAAC